rnacentral:rRNA from 1 species
GACGAACGCUGGCGGCGUGCCUAAUACAUGCAAGUUGAGCGAUGAAGAUUGGUGCUUGCACCAAUUUGAAGAGCAGCGAACGGGUGAGUAGCGCGUGGGGAAUCUGCCUUUGAGCGGGGGACAACAUUUGGAAACGAAUGCUAAUACCGCAUAAUAACUUUAAACAUAAGUUUUAAGUUUGAAAGAUGCAAUUGCAUCACUCAAAGAUGAUCCCGCGUUGUAUUAGCUAGUUGGUGAGGUAAAGGCUCACCAAGGCGAUGAUACAUAGCCGACCUGAGAGGGUGAUCGGCCACAUUGGGACUGAGACACGGCCCAAACUCCUACGGGAGGCAGCAGUAGGGAAUCUUCGGCAAUGGACGAAAGUCUGACCGAGCAACGCCGCGUGAGUGAAGAAGGUUUUCGGAUCGUAAAACUCUGUUGGUAGAGAAGAACGUUGGUGAGAGUGGAAAGCUCAUCAAGUGACGGUAACUACCCAGAAAGGGACGGCUAACUACGUG